UUUCUGGAGAGAAUUACAGAAGGCCAGUUGGGUUUCACACUUCCUCUUUCUGUUCUCUGCGUGGUCAGAUCUUCAAAAUGCCUAAAUGCACUUCUCUUUUUUGAAUGCAACAGGAUUAUCUCAACCACGAAAAGCAGCUUUGGUUGGGUCCCUUGGGUUAGCCUGGUUUGACAUCCUCUAUACCAUAUUCCCAGGGAAGACUUGUAGGCACAAGACUUUAGAGAUGUGCUCACAAAAGCUACGAUGAUAACCAAGUCACACCUAGUGUGUGUUUUCUGCAGCCUUCUCCCACCUAGUAUGGACCAAGCAGAAGUGACAGUUAGUACAGCGUAGUGUGCAGCAUCAUGAUGGGUGGUUAAGACAGGAGAAGAAAUGUUUACAGAGACGUGGGAGAGAGAUCACCAGACUCCCCUUCCUGUGUACACAGCUCAGCCAAGGCGCAAGUGCUGCUAAAUCCUGAGACAUUGGAAGGGCCAGUUAUAAAGACUCAACGGACUUCACGUGUUUUACUCCCUUUGAAAAUAGUGAUGCCAGCGUCAUGUAUUUCUUAACUCUAAAAUACAUAUCAUCUCCUGUCAAGCUGCUGUACAGGCAUGCAGCAAUACUUGCUGUAAUUGUUUUUAACACCAACAAACUGAGCUGAACACAGAUGCUGGGAGUUAAACUAGUCUUGGUACAGUAGCUGAGGUGAAAUAAUACAUCCAAUAGUAGCAUAGCCUAUGAAAACUGAACUAUCUUGCCCAGGAAGAAACAAAGCACAGUUAUUUUUCCACAUUUUUGAGAUUUUUUUUAAAGCUAAAUUAUAGUGGCAGUGAAGCUAAAAUGCCACUGAAUCAUACAUCAGAAAGUAAAAAUGUUCCUUUGGGAUGGUUACAUAGUAUUGCUGUGUCUGGAAAGAAAUGUUGUUGAAACAGAAUAUUGAGUUGAGUUAGAGAUCUCUCACAUCAUCCUUUGGACAAUGUCAUUAUCAGCACUAUGGUGGAAUCUAUCUCCAGGACACAGAGUUCCUUUCUGCAGGCCUUGUUCAUCAUGAUAAAGAAUGUUAAGAUGCACUCAGAUAGGAACUCCGGGACAAUUGUUACAGUCAGAAGUAAAGGAGGAGAAAGAGAGAAAACUGUACUUUUAAUAGCCUCAGAUAAAAGCUAAGUACCCUGGAAGUCAAGAUGGGCACAAUAGGAAAUGAGAAAGAACCAGGUGCUGGGAUCUUUGUACCUUACUUCUAUUGAAGGGGCAGUAAAUCGCCCUUCUCUCCAGGUGACAGGAACAGAAAGGCUGCUCUACUCCUUGGGGCCAACUGAAAAUCUCUCUCUCUCUCUCUCUCUCUCUCUCUCUCUCUCUCUCUCACACACACACACACACACACACACACACACACACAUACACACACACACGUAGUGGGUAGCCAUUCCUGCUUUGAUCUGGAAGUUCCAACCCCCAUUGAGGCUUCGGUAACGGUCACGCAUACAAGGCUAGACUGAGAGAGGACGCUGAAGACCCAAGAUCUGGAUGCAGCCGGCUCUCUUGGUUCCUGGACCCUGGACGCUGGAGGUAGAUUGAGCAGAGUUUUCCAGAGAACACCACCGGACUGCGCCACACCUUUCCCAGACCCUGUAGCCUAUCCCUUCACUUGUAAGUUACCCCACAAAAUAAACCUCCCUUUUAACUACUUG